rnacentral:rRNA from 1 species
GGGAGGCAGCAGUGGGGAAUAUUGCACAAUGGGGGAAACCCUGAUGCAGCAACGCCGCGUGAGUGAAGAAGUAUUUCGGUAUGUAAAGCUCUAUCAGCAGGGAAGAAAAUGACGGUACCUGACUAAGAAGCCCCGGCUAACUACGUGCCAGCAGCCGCGGUAAUACGUAGGGGGCAAGCGUUAUCCGGAUUUACUGGGUGUAAAGGGAGCGCAGGCGGUCUGGCAAGUCUGAUGUGAAAUCCCGGGGCUCAACCCUGGAACUGCAUUGGAAACUGUCAGACUAGAGUGCCGGAGAGGUAAGUGGAAUUCCUAGUGUAGCGGUGAAAUGCGUAGAUAUUAGGAGGAACACCAGU